rnacentral:rRNA from 1 species
CGUAACACGUGGGUAAUCUGCCCUUCGAUGGGGAAUAACCCCGGGAAACCGGGGCUAAUUCCGCAUAAUAUUCCGAUGAUUAACGUUGUUGGACUCAAAGCCGCAAGGCGUCGAAGGAGGAGCCCGCGCACGAUUAGCUAGUUGGUGAGGUAACGGCUCACCAAGGCUAUGAUCGUUAGCUGGUCUGAGAGGAUGGCCAGCCACACUGGAACUGAGACACGGUCCAG